CUCUCGGCUCCGCCUGGCAGCAGCUCCGCCGCCCAGAGGCGUCCGAGACCCUCCGACUCGUGGGUACGCAUAGGCCUCGCCAGCGAGCCUUGCCCAGGCAACGAGUCGCCAGCCCGCCCCCUCGCCGCGGGCUAGGUCUCACCUCGCCACCAGUACGUCUUGGACAAGUAGUGCCAGGUCUGAUGCCGGGUGUGGUGAGUGCCGCCGGGACCCAGGUGCGCCGCCUCGAUGAGGUCCCGGCGUCGCUCCGGCUGCAGCACCACCUCCAGCUCCGCGAAGGUCUUGCGGUGCCGCUGCCGCCGCUGGUAAUACAGAGUCCCGCCGCGCACCACGUAGCAGGCGGCAGCUUUUCGGAUUUUACGCUUGACAUUGCCCUCGGUGCCCGGCGCAUACGGCUCGCGCUCGUUCGUCAGGUAACGCAGGAUGGCCCGGUAGCUUUCCUCGCUUGACAUCGCGGACCGCGGCUCCCUGAGGGCGCCUGUCAGGGACAGGUGAGGAAAACGGCCCGCUACCUACGGGCGGCUGCAGGAGGAGCGGCGGCACCGUAGGGAGAAACGGCUGCGCCUUUGGCGAGCGCUCUUCGACGGCUCCCUUAGUCCGAAGGAAAAGCGGGCGAGUUGGUAACCAGGGGGAACUGCACUUCUCCAGCGCGCGGGAUCCGCUGGCGACUGACAAAAUGGCUGCUGCACCACCGGAAGUGACGCAAGGCAAGGGCGGGGACUGAGCCCUGAUUGGAGCGCACUCUCGUUUUCUGGCUUGAUGGAGCCGAUCCAGUGACGUCAGGAAUGCGGGUGGACAUUUUGGAAGCGGGUCUCCUAUGUUGCCUCAAACAAUCCUCCCACCUUGGCCUCCGGAGGAGCUAGAGUACAGCCGCUGCCACCAAGCCCGGAUUUGCUAUGACACUGAUAUACAAGUUAUAGAGUCCCUGCUUUCAACUGUUUUAGGAGGACAGUCCAGUUUAUCUGCCGAGGAUUCCUCUUGGAAAGGAAAGCCGACUCGCAUUUCGCAUUAAGAAACUGGAAAACCUAGAGUGACAAAUGCAAAGGAAUUACUAUUUAACUAUACAAAGUACAAGAGGCUGAGUAAGCUUGGAAUCCUUAGAAGAUCAAUAUGCUAGUUCUGGC
rnacentral:lncRNA from 1 species